ACGCUUGAAGUCAGUCGCGUUGGCUAGGGAUCAAUCUUGCUCUUUUGCUUGAUGUACUUCCUAGUCGAUGGGUCAACAUCAGUUUUGAUUGUUGGAUAAAGAUUAGGGGAAUGUGGCAUCUUCGGAUGUGUUAUAGCCCUUGGUUGUAUACAACAGUUGGGACUGAGGAACUCAGCACGCCGCAAGGCCGGGUUUUUAACCACGUACGUGCUUAGGAUGUUGGCAUAAUGGCUUUAAUCGACCCGUCUUGAAACACGGACCAAGGAGUC
rnacentral:rRNA from 1 species